UGGGGAAUAUUGGACAAUGGGCGCAAGCCUGAUCCAGCCAUGCCGCGUGAGUGAUGAAGGCCCUAGGGUUGUAAAGCUCUUUCACCGGUGAAGAUAAUGACGGUAACCGGAGAAGAAGCCCCGGCUAACUUCGUGCCAGCAGCCGCGGUAAUACGAAGGGGGCUAGCGUUGUUCGGAUUUACUGGGCGUAAAGCGCACGUAGGCGGACUUUUAAGUCAGGGGUGAAAUCCCGGGGCUCAACCCCGGAACUGCCUUUGAUACUGGAAGUCUUGAGUAUGGUAGAGGUGAGUGGAAUUCCGAGUGUAGAGGUGAAAUUCGUAGAUAUUCGGAGGAAAACCAGUGGCGAAGGCGGCUCACUGGACAAUUACUGACGCUGAGGUGCGAAAGCGUGGGGAGCAAACAGG
rnacentral:rRNA from 1 species